AAAAUACCAAAUAACUUCUCCAUUUUCCACUCCUUAUUUUGACAUCUUUGACCCAGCCAGCUUUUUUCUUAAACCCUCUCUAAAACCCUACACUAGUCUCUGCUACUCUCUCUCUCUCUCUCUCUCUCUCUGCUGCAGUGACAAGGGAGUAAGCGACAGAUUAAUAAAGAAAAAAGAUGGAGAAAGUUGUUCAUUUCCCAAAACUCCCUAUUGAGUUUCUCAUGCGGCCUUCUUCUAACAACAACAGAGAUGUUUUAAUCAAAACGAUACCUUCUGCAUCAAAGCCUGAGAUCAAGAGGGUUCUGGAAUCAGUAUAUGGUUGCGAAGUUGAAAAGGUACGGACACUAAAUAUGCGAGGAAAGAAAAAGAUGAGAGGGGGGCGCUUGAUUGCAAGACCAGAUUACAAGAAGGCUUAUGUGACUCUAAAGAAUCCUUCAUUCUUCUCUCCCGACAUGAAUCCUAUCCAUUUAGUUAAAGAGGAAAAGAAUAAAUAAAGUCAAAUUCAAGCAUCGUCACAAAGUGAGGAAUCUCACUAGCUUGACUAGGAUUUAAUUUUGAGAAGUAAUCAAGUCAGGGAGGCAGAAGUGGCAUUUAUGUUGAUCCAGCAUCGCCCAUCGAUUCUAUUCCAGAUUCAUAACUAGAAAGUUUCUCAUAUUAAUUCAACAGCCCUUUUCAUUGCUUUUUGAAAUGAAACUCUAUUCUUUAAUUAUUUAGCUAUAAAUUCUCCAUGAACUCUAGUUUAUGGGAGAGCCCACAGACACUGGAAUGUCUAAGUUUCCAUAAAGCAAAACGUGUCUAUCGACUAUCAAGGUAGUUAGGCUCUUGGGGAAAGAUUUUUAUCUAUUUUGAAGUUUAGGUUAAGGCUGUCCAAGGGAUUUGACAAAUCGACCCACCCAGAGUGACUAACAAGAACCGAUCUGAUCUAGUGACUAUAGUGGUUAAAGGCAGGUCGGGGGCUUCAGAGUUCGAUUUUGACAGAAUCACGAUCGUCGCUACCUCUCUUGAUUUCAACCGAAACAAAUCCAACUCGUGGAACAACCAACUUAUUUCGACCCGUUGAAGUUAUCGGUUAGCGGCAGAUCCUAUGUUCUGACACCCGCCAGAAUCGAGGUAAGUCUAAGUAGGGCCCAAAUCCAACCCGGACUGAACCAUGGACAAUCCUAAUAUUGGUAUCUUCAUUUACAUGGAUUUGGAAAUGAUAAAUGCCCAUUAUUUAUGUUUGAUUACCCAUGCAGAAGACAAGAAAGUUAAUUGUAUUUGCCAAUUGAGAUAUCUCUUCCUAUCAGGAGUUUGAACAUAAUUAAUUGUUAUUGUGUUUGA